GCCCAUCUGUGCGUAGUGGGGAAGCCAUCAGUCAGGAAACCUGUGAGACCAGAUGCUACGCCCUUCACCUGGUGGAAAGUCUCCCCCAGGAAGUCACUUAGGACCGCGAGGAGAGUCACGCUGCCAGAGGAGAAAGAGCAAAUAGUCAAGGAAUGUAGGCUCGGGUUCUAGUAUAGGCUUUGUCCUGUGUUCCCCCAGGAAAUAUGCCUCCCUUCACCGGGCCUUUGUCACCUUCUCUCUGAAGGGAUGGGGCUAGACCAGAUGAAAUUCAACAGUGUCUGAGCUGCAUAUGUGCUGUACAAAUGAAAAAUAUUUUUUAAAGCCCAGAUUCAGCUCCGUUCCUCAAAGAGCAUGCAGUCUUGCGCAUGGAUAACUAUGGCACUUCAUAGUUAGGGCCUGGGGCCCCCACGAAGGCUGAGAGCCACCCUUUCACAUUUAAGAGGCUGAGAUGCUGUGUCUCCCUGACUAGAGCAGCCUCAGGUUGGGGUGAGUGGAAGUCAUAACGCCACAGAAAUGUCACAGCCAAGGGAGGGACCUGUGGGCUCUUCUCCUUUCACUAUUGGCCAUGGCUAAACUGUGGAGCUUCUAAAUUCACACACGCCACCAGACACUGGGAACGUCCUGACGGGCAUAGAAGAGGAGUACAACAACACUCAGAUGUGGCCCUGGCCUGAGCUGUCCCCCGCUGCUCUUCUGUGUCUCAGUCAAGCCGAGCAGACCUCAGCAGGGGAGCGAGAAGCUGAGAGAAAUCUCCUUAAUGAGUUGAUCACAAGAAUGGAUGCUUUGGUGUCAAUAUUAUGCCCACUAGAAGCUCUAGAGGAACUCAAGAGAAGCUAAAUUCCUUGAUAAAGCUGGGCAUCAUGGGAAGAAAAGACACUCUCUGAGAGACAAGAUGAGAAGGUCUGCCAAGAAGUUUCUCCCAUGAUUGGCGGGAGACCCUGACUCCCUGAUGAAAAGAAGUGAGGGAGAGCCCAGCCUUGGAAGAAGAGAGUGAGGCACCGUGAUCCCAGAUCUGUUUAUUUUUAAGGAAACAAGACAAAAUAAAACAAAACCCCUGAAAGAAUCUAUGUGCCUGCCACCCAAAAUGAACAAAUGCUUACAUUUUUAAAUUUAAUUCAGAUCUUUUAAAAAAAAAAAAACAAAACAUUACAGAUUUAAAAUACCCUAUGUGCUCACACCAGAGACCUGCUCCCUUUCCUUCCUUCCCAAAGUCACCACUGUGAUGAAUUCUACGUGUUCCCAGUCCUGUUUACAACUUCACUGUACAUCCAUGUAUUGAUAAACAGUAUAUAACAAUG